rnacentral:rRNA from 1 species
UACAGAGGGGGCAAGCGUUGUUCGGAAUUACUGGGCGUAAAGGGCGCGUAGGCGGCCUGUUAAGUCGAACGUGAAAUCCCCGGGCUCAACCCGGGAACUGCGUCCGAUACUGGCAGGCUUGAAUUCGGGAGAGGGAUGUGGAAUUCCAGGUGUAGCGGUGAAAUGCGCAGAUAUCGGGAGGAACACCAAUGGCGAAGGCAGCUCGCUGGGACGGUACUGACGCUGAGACGCGAAAGCGUGGGGAGCAAACAGG